rnacentral:rRNA from 1 species
GGUUGACCUCGGAUCAGGUAGGAAUACCCGCUGAACUUAAGCAUAUCAAUAAGCGGAGGAAAAGAAACCAACAGGGAUUGCCUCAGUAACGGCGAGUGAAGCGGCAACAGCUCAAAUUUGAAAUCUGGCCUUGUGCCCGAGUUGUAAUUUGUAGAGGAUGCUUUCGGCGCGGCGCCUUCCGAGUUCCCUGGAACGGGACGCCAUAGAGGGUGAGAGCCCCGUAUGGUCGGAUGCCAAACCACUGUAAAGCUCCCUCGACGAGUCGAGUAGUUUGGGAAUGCUGCUCAAAAUGGGAGGUAAAUUUCUUCUAAAGCUAAAUACCGGCCAGAGACCGAUAGCGAAAAAGUAGAGUGAUCGAAAGAUGAAAAGCACUUUGAAAAGAGGGUUAAACAGCACGUGAAAUUGUUGAAAGGGAAGCGCUUGUGACCAGACCUGCGCCCUGGGGAUCAUCCGGCGUUCUCGCCGGUGCACUCCGCUGGGCUGCAGGCCAGCAUCGGUUCUCCUAGGGGGAUAAAAGCUUCGGGAACGUGGCUCCUUAGGGAGUGUUAUAGCCCGUUGCAUAAUACCCUUGGGGGGACCGAGGUACGCGCUCCGCAAGGAUGCUGGCGUAAUGGUCAUCAGCGACCCGUCUUGAAACACGGACCAAGGAGUCAAGCAUUAGGGCGAGUGUUUGGGUGCAAAACCCGCACGCGAAAUGAAAGUGAACGUAGGUGAGAGCUUCGGCGCAUCAUCGACCGAUCCUGAUGUUCUCGGAUGGAUUUGAGUAAGAGCCUUACCGCUUGGACCCGAAAGAUGGUGAACUAUGCCUGUAUAGGGUGAAGCCAGAGGAAACUCUGGUGGAGGCUCGCAGCGGUUCUGACGUGCAAAUCGAUCGUCAAAUAUGGGCAUGGGGGCGAAAGUGAGUUCCGAAUUCUAAAUACCGGAAAACUAGACAUACGAUUGCUAACCAAUAUUUCCAGGACUAAUCGAACUAUCUAGUAGCUGGUUACCGCCGAAGUUUCCCUCAGGAUAGCAGUGUUGUUUUCAGUUUUAUGAGGUAAAGCGAAUGAUUAGGGACUCGGGGGCGCUAUUUUGCCUUCAUCCAUUCUCAAACUUUAAAUAUGUAAGAAGCCCUUGUUACUUUGUUGAACGUGGGCCUUCGAAUGCAGCAACACUAGUGGGCCAUUUUUGGUAAGCAGAACUGGCGAUGCGGGAUGAACCGAACGCGGGGUUAAGGUGCCAGAGUGGACGCUCAUCAGACACCACAAAAGGCGUUAAUACAUCUUGACAGCAGGACGGUGGCCAUGGAAGUCGGAAUCCGCUAAGGACUGUGUAAGUGUUUUUCUCCCCUGGGCUUUUAUUCCCCGGGCAAUUUGCUCUGUUUUUUAAGGACAAACAUGCUAAUAAUUCUCUCAACAGGUAACAACUCACCUGCCGAAUGUAUUAGCCCUGAAAAUGGAUGGCGCUCAAGCGUCCCACCCAUACCCCGCCCUCAGGGUAGAAACGAUGCCCUGAGGAGUAGGCGGCCGCGGGGGCGGUGACGAAGCCCAGGGCGUGAGCCCGGGUCGAACCGCCCCUGGUGCAGAUCUUGGUGGUAGUAGCAAAUACUUCAAUGAGAACUUGAAGGACCGAAGUGGGGAAAGGUUCCAUGUGAACAGCGGUUGGACGUGGGUUAGCCGAUCCUAAGCCAUAGGGAAGUUCCGUUUCAAAGGGGCACUCGUGCCCCGCAUGGCGAAAGGGAAGCAGGUCAAUAUUCCUGCGCCUGGAUGCGGGUUUUUCGCGGCAACGCAACUGAACGCGGAGACGGCGGCGGGGGCCCCGGGCAGAGUUCUCUUUUCUUCUUAACGGUCUGCCACCCUGAAAACAGUUUGUCUGGAGAUAGGGUCCCAUGGCCGGAAGAGCCCAGCACCUCUGCUGGGUCCGGUGCGCCCCCGACGUCCCUUGAAAAUCCGCGGGAGGGAAUAAUUCUCGCGCCAGGUCGUACUCAUAACCGCAGCAGG